ACUGUCCGCUAGGGGUUUUUUGCACCGUUCAGUGCUGUGCAGAAAUGAGAGUUACCCUUCGAACCUGAUCCGGCUAAUAUCGGCGUAGGGAAGCGAGAGGCGCGCCAU
rnacentral:ncRNA from 2 species